UGCCGGGGUCGGCUGUUACUUGUCUCUGCCCCAGCAUGGGAAAAAGUGGUUCUGGGCAGGCCACGCUCUCGAAGAAGGAGUCUGGACUCUUGCUUUUGGUCUUCAGUUGAGUUUAUUGUUCCUUAUCUACAAAGUUUUUCUGUCUGUCCACCUGAGGUCUGAUCAGCAAGACAGCCAAGGGCACUCUCUCCUGCCCACGGGGCGGUUGUCUCUUUUAUAGUGAAAACUACGUAGUAGAUAUUUACCUUUAAUUUCCAAUACUUUCUGCCCUUGUUGGCAAGUGCACUUUCUCUAUGAACCAAUCCACACAUGCCAACAUCAUCCUGAACAUGGAUGCCAAGGAGAAGAAAGAAGAAGGACAGGGCAUGCCCAAAUCCCUCCAUCUUAGAACCCUUGACCCCCAUGUACAGAAUUUCAAACCCCCCUGUACAAGGUUCAAAAUCCCCCUGUACAGUGCUCCAAAAUUUUUCCCUUCACCCUGUGAUUCCUACUACUAUGCUACUUAAAGUUUUGUGGCCUGUAAUUCUUCAUAUAAGGUUGGCAAUUUGCUCUAUGAAUUAAGAUCGAAUUUCCAGGUGUCUUUGGCUUCCUGCCAGGGUCUCCAAGCCCCUGCCAGGGCUUUGAGACAUCCAGGGCAUCCAGAGAUGUCCUGGGUCCCGACAUUACCCAUUUUUUUUUUUAAGAACAUUUUCUUUCUCACUCUGUAUUGAGCUUGAAGUUUAUGGUUUCCGUUUCACACCUAAAGAGGAAUUUGCAUGCUUAAAACAUUCUUUUUUUACAUCUUGUUGCCUUGAUGAAAAGACAUUGCCUCUCCCUACAGCGCUUGCCUGCAUGCCUCCUGAGAGAAAAAAAUGCAAACUGUAAUGACAGCAGUCCACAACUUGCUCAACAAGGAAACCCUCACUGGAAAGAUUACCCUUACAGUGAGCCAAAGUUUUGCCUAGUCUGACAUGUCGGGUUUUGACCCUGUGCUUCUAAUAUUAAGUCCCUCCCAGAAGAACUGAAUCAAAAUAUCUUAGCUUAAUCAACAUCAUAUUUAUGUAUAAAACAGACUUACUGACCUUUUGGUAAGUGACCUACUAACAAAAGCAAGGUUUCAAAGGAUUUACCCGUUCAUGCUCAGUGUGGGCCAACAAGCCAAUAUAACAUCUGCUCAGUAUGCAUUGCAAAGCAAAUGAAAAAUGCUGACACCAUUAAUCAGCUUGUCCAAGUGAAUAAAAUUUCAAAAGCUGAUGUAAGAAAGCUUGGCUUUAAAAGCAAACAUUUCAUGUGGAUCUGUGUGUGUUUGUCUAAUGAUGGAUUAGUUAACCCUAAGAUGAAGAAUUACUCCAGCCCUAUGUUUGAGGGGGCAAUGCAUGUAAAUCUGAAAAUGUGCAGAUAAAGAUUGUAAAGAAAUUAGAGAUAUGGGAAGUAGUUUUACAAAAAUUGAUCACUUGCCAUUGGUGCCUCCAACUUCAGUGCAUGGUAUUAAACACAAUGAAUAAAAACCACCUUGUUUUCAGUCCUAUCCACAGGCUGCAAGCUGUGAUUGAAUGUAUGUUUUUUUCAUUCACAGAACUGUUAAAAUGCAGGUAUCAUUUUUUUCUUUUUUCCUCUCCUUUGCUGGGCCACAGAGAGGAACUGUAUCUCAAAGAGAAAAAUUGCCUGCAAUUAAUUUCAGUGGAAUAGAUCAAAGCAGUGCAGCAGCAAUUUAAAUCUGGUGUUAUAUUAGGAGUGAAAACUGAGGAAAAGUCAGUAAAGGGAUCAGAUAUUUCCUUAUUUAAUGACGAGUAGAACAUAUGUCAGGGAAAGAGAAGGUAGGGAACACAGACACAUGGAAUCUAUACAGAGAAGCUACAGAUGAAAAAAGUCUCUGCUAGCCAGCUUAAAAAUGUAGGCCCUAUUCUAUUGCUUUGUCAAACCUACUUUUGAAAGUCCAAUACUUUUCUGCUUCCAUGAUUCCCUUUGGAAGAUGUCUCCAGACUGUAGUGUAUUUUGGUCUCAGUGUAUUUUUUGCUGAUAUCCUUUUUUAAAACCUGAAUUUCUUUCCAUAAUUACUGUCACACUCCUUUGGAAUACACUAAAAACUCACCUCCCUCGGUAACCACUGCCUUUUUUUCUCUUAUGUAUUCUCAGAAUACCAUGCCCAAAACUUACUCCAGUGGAAAUAUCAGGAUUAUUCAAGUGGCAGGGCUCUAGCCUCAAAGAAUAAAGUGGGCAUCACUGGAAUAGAGAACACCUUCAGAGAUGGGAUCCUAGACUGGUCAGGAGACUGAAUUCUAUAUUAGUGAAGAGCCUAUCUGGAUAAG